rnacentral:rRNA from 1 species
CCUANGGGUGGCAGCAGUGGGGAAUCUUCCGCAAUGGGUGAAAGCCUGACGGAGCGACGCCGCGUGGAUGAUGAAGGUCUUCGGAUUGUAAAAUCCUGUAGAGGGGGAAGAUGGGUGCAGCAAUGCAUUUGACAGUACCCCUAAAGUAAGCUACGGCAAACUCUGUGCCAGCAGCCGCGGUUAUACAGAGGUAGCUAGCGUUGUUCGGAAUGACUGGGUGUAAAGCGCAUGUAGGCGGUUUUGUAAGUUGAAUGUGAAAUCUUCCGGCUUAACCGGAAAACUGCAUUCAAAACUGCAUUACUUGAGUACGGAAGAGGAAAGCGGAAUUUCUGGUGUAGCGGUGAAAUGCGUAGAUAUCAGAAGGAACACCGGUGGCGAAGGCGGCUUUCUGGUCCGUAACUGACGCUGAGAUGCGAAAGCUAGGGGAGCAAACAGGAUUAGAUACCCGUNUANUC